CGCGUACCGGAGUAAUCCGGGACGUAAUCGGGCAGAAGUCAGCAGAGGCCAUAGUAGGCGGGACGGCCGCAGCGGUCCGAUCGCCCAAGGGC
rfam:Candidatus Methylomirabilis oxyfera complete genome.